rnacentral:lncRNA from 1 species
CGCAGCGCUGCUGGCCCGCUCUCUGAGGAGCUUUCAAUACUUUGGGGUCAAGUUUGAGGCAGUUGUAACUGUACUGAGUUUAGUUUUGCUAAUAAUGGUAUUCUACGUGUGUCAGCCUCGUGUGGACUUCUGUAAUGACUAAUGGAUAUGUUUAUAUCCUGAGCAUUUGCUGUAGGAAUUUUAAAUGCAAUCCCAAAACUCAAGAUUACCUUAUUUGGAGAAAUAUUCGUGUUACUAUGUUUAAAAUUUAAUAGAACCAUAUUUUACCUUUCACUUUGGGACUCGCACAGGAUGUUUGCAGCUCUUGAUAUACAGGAACUAGAACGUGUCUUUUAAGAGCAUGCGGUUUUAUAAUUACGUGGAAGUAUGCUACGCAAGGGAAAAAAGCCUCUUGCUAGUGUUAAGGGUCUUCAUAAACAGAAACCGCAAGGAACCUGGGAUCUGACAGCUGUUGGAGGAAUGCCUGUGAGGAAGGAGGAGGAACAGAAGAAUGCUUUGAUGUCUUAAAUGGUACAUCCAAACUUAAGUGAAAUAGAGCUGUGAGGACAUUUUGGGGAGAAGUGACCUAGAUAAGCACUGACUGUUGCAUUCAUCUCUCUUCUUGCUGAUUGUGAUGAUUUCCUGUGCCAUAGCCAUUCAAAGUCUGCCAAAAAAGAGUGGAGAAGGAGCAGUUUUUCCAUUUCCCUGAAAAGAAUUGAGUGAAGUUGACAGCAGGAUUGCAGAAGUGGGAGGACCCAAGUUGCUUCACGUGUUGAAGAAGGAAAAGAAUGCUUGUCUUACCCACUUCAGAGGCUUAUCCUGAGAAUCUUAAAUGUGAGAGUACUUUGCAAACUACAUAGCACUCCCUAAGUGCAUGUUUUUUUAUUAGGAGGCCCUGCUACCUCCCUACCUGAGGGAGUCUUUCCAGAACCUCCCUGCUCCCACCCCUCACUGGCACUCCUGCUGCUCUGUUUGGAGAAACACAUUUUAUGGCAGCACAGAUACAGACCUGGAUCAUGGGGUCACUGCUGUGUUUCCAUUACAAAUACACAGGCUUCAAGCUUCAGCCCUUUCCACAUGCUGAACUUCAUCGGAGUCCCAUGUGUUGAGAGCCUUCUGGAAGAGACCCAACAAUUACAGAGGGCUGCAUCAUACAGACUUGGCCUGCAUGUAAUUUCAGCCUGAACUUUUGGGGGAUUGUUAUGGGGUCCCAUCCUGCAAUCUUUCAACAUGGAAAACUCUCCUGGGCCUGGAAGGUUUGGAAAUUCUUCAAGAGUGGGAGGUAUAGCCUCUAGGAUUGAACAUCAGGGAGGACCCUGUAACCAGAAUGGAACUUAAAUCUUAUUUCACGAGCCUUCUAAUUUUCUGUGUCUGUGUGGCCUUUUACUUGAAAUAAAUAAGCAAAGGAUAUAGUUUUAAGUAUAGUGGUUUCCACGCUCCUGGGGCUGAUUUCUCCUUUGCCCCCCAGGUUGAUAGUAGAUCACAGUUGCAGAAAUGGAUCCAAAUGGAUUUUGCAGAGAUAGUCGAAAGCCAUGCCAAUUUGGCCUCUUUUGUGCAGUAAGUACAGUGUGAGUAGCUGCCAGAUAGAGAAGAGAGAACCCCAAGUCAAUUAUUAAUUACUUCAGCUCCCCUUAGGGUCAGCAAAUCACAGCUGCGCAAUGUACUACAGCACCUAAAGUGUGACCGUGGAGAAUUAGGGGCACAUGUAUAUACUAUUCUGCAAAAGCAAGGGUGUUAGCCAUGGUGUCGAAUGAAUAAUGGAAGUAGUCUUUAAUCCAUGUUUCCAUGAAUCAGUCUGUUUUUGUCACAUUGUUGUCCAGUAUCUGUAAGUGGUAGCAUUAUUCAUGAGGCUUAAGUAGACACACAGACCCAGGGAAAGGCUGGAGAUGAAAACAAAACUGUAGUAUUCAUUCAUCAGCUUGUGGUGACAACACUGCUGUCAGUAUACUGAAAGUCAGCGU